rnacentral:rRNA from 1 species
UACGUAGGGGGCGAGCGUUGUCCGGAAUUAUUGGGCGUAAAGGGCUCGUAGGCGGUUUGUCGCGUCGGGAGUGAAAUCCACUGGCUUAACUGGUGUCUUGCUUUCGAUACGGGCAGACUGGAGGUAUGCAGGGGAGAACGGAAUUCCUGGUGUAGCGGUGAAAUGCGCAGAUAUCAGGAGGAACACCGGUGGCGAAGGCGGCCAACUGGACCACAACUGACGCUGAGGCGCGAAAGCGUGGGGAGCAAACAGG